CUGCUCCUUCCCGAAAUCACCUGCCUGAGCCAGAUUUUGCUGCACAAUUACAGAAUAUGAUUUAGGUGACCCAACAGAUUCACUGUUAAAACUUAGUAGAAACAAGUGCAGCACUUCGUAGAAACAAGCAUCAAUUCUAACAGGUAAGCCCCUUGGAACACACGUUGGGGUAGCAAUCCAUGGGAUGGAUUAUGACAACUUCCAGUCACUGCUUACUAGAGAGACCUGCUGGCUACGGUAAUAACUGGUCUCACGGUUGCGAUUAUAUACAUUUGAUUGCCAGCACAGAUAAAGGUAUAGCUUUUGAGUUAUUUGUGUCCACUGAGACACUGACUAUCAGCAGCCUAAAUCAAGCCAAUUGAUAACUGAUAUACAUAGGCCACUGCCCUGAAUCUUCAGCAAGAAAAUAGAUUCAAUUAUAGCAUUGAACCAAGCAUAGCCAUAAUUUACAGGUUACAACAUGCUUGCUAAACUAACCAUUGUGGUGUUCUUAACAGUAUUUGUUGGUACUACCAAAAAUAACUAAGACCCUUAUACUGAAUUUGAAGGAUGUCAGACGGAUAAAAUGUGAAGAUAUCCAGAAAUGAGAACCAAUCGGAUGUAAAAUUAGAACUUGACAUGUUGAAUUUACCAUGUUAACAGAACACAAACCAGAGUCACAAGCCUCCAGAGCAACCACAUCGUCUGAAUCUUCAUUGGCUUGCAGGAUCAACUCAGUACCAAGUUGAACAUGAUGAUUCCUGCGAAUGAAUGGGAAGCCACCAAGCAGGCAUUCCACCACCUGAUGAGCGGGUGGCUUGAUGAUUGCUCCUUCAUCUAGGCCUAUCCAAUACAUUGGCAGCCUGUUGACAACACAAGACACAAGUUUAUCAUGAAUCCCUGAAACCUCCUCAAUCAGUUCACACAAGUUGCAGGUACACAAUCAAUAGUUGCACUUCUGUUCUGGAUCUAUGAUCAGUUUUGGAUGUAUAAUCAAGGAUGUGAUUCAUAAUAGCAAACAAACAAGCAGACAAGCAGACUUGUCAUACUCCCUUCCUGCCCCAUAAUAUAAGAGGUUUCUGCUACGGAGUACUUAUGUAGCCCAUCAACCCAGGUACUCCCUCCGUUCCAGAAUACUUGUCAUGGUUUUAGUUAAACUUUGAACCAAAACCAUGACAAGUAUUUUGGAACGGAGGGAGUACAUGGUUUACAUUUCAAGCAAGAAAGAUUGCAUGACAAAUGGUUUACUUAUGCACAGCCUAAGUCCCAUAAUAUAAGGGCAAGUUAACCUUCCCCGUGCAGGCCCUCUCCUGCUGCACCCCUCUCGCACCCUCAGGGACAACCACCUAUUAGCGUCAGCGGGGAGUAGAGACAGUUUUCUACUUGUCUCUGUUAUCAGUCACGGUAACAGGGUAGUUACUGAGAGAAGUAGCAUCCAUUAUUCUACAUCUGCCUCUGUUAGCUAUUGCUUUAAAGUAAUUAGCUGUAUAUUACCAAAUCAGCAUUUUUCUGAGAAAAGGUAAAUUCCUGGAUCAAUGUAGGGGCGAUAAGUGUCGACGUAUCUGCAGCAGAGCACCAUAUAAAUCACAAGAACAUAUAUCGAAGAAUGGCGAUGAACAACUAAACAACCACUUAGGGGUGGGUUCAGUGUAGGGGCGAUAAGUGUUGACGUAUCUGCAGCAGAGCAGCAUAUAAAUCACAAGAACAGAUAUCGAAGAAUGGCGAUGAACAACUAAACAACCACUUAGGGGUGGGUUCAGUGUAGGGGCGAUAAGAGACGACGUAUCUGCAGCAGAGCAGCAUAUAAAUCACAAGAACAGAUAUCGAAUAAUGGCGAUGAACAACUAAACAACCACUUAGGGGUGGGUGGCACACAGUGAUCACUGAUACGGCUCAAUUCCUACAGAUCGACAGGAAACUCAGUACUACCGAAACAAUCACUUCGGUUUGAUCGGAUUGGUCUUAGCCCUCCCUACCUAAACAAACCCUAUUGAAGGUCCAACUCCUAGAGGAAAUUCCCCAGCAGCAAAUGCACUAGCUGACUGGCAUGCAAUAUGAAACGACUUUGAUACACAUGCAAUUGACAUACCUAUCAAGCAGUUGCCAGCGGUUUCUGACUUGUGCAUCCACAUCAUCAAUCUCCUUUUCCAAUUCCUGAAGCAUAGCAUCAACCUAAAACAGAGCAAAAAUAUAUGUCAACAAAUAACCCAUAAAUUAUUCAAUAGCAAUGUAUAGAUGACCAACAUCAAUGGUAGCUCUGCCAAAGAAAUAUCUCCAACUAACAGACUUGGGGGAUGGCGAAUGUAGGCAUACAGAUCAGCAAUAAAGCCAUACGAUGUAACUUUGUUAACAAGAGCAACCAAGACCCUUAUACUUCUAAUGCUGACAUGCUAUACUUCAAUCGUUCUUUUUUUAGGCUAAAGAAAGAAUUUGCUGCAUUAAGAAAGAAUUGUCACAAUCUUUUUGACAUAAAGAACAGAACCAGCGACCAAGCAUAAGUGCCUAGAGCUAACUUGUGAGCAACUCUCAAUCGUAUGCUUCAAUGUAAACUAACACAGGUCAAGACCGAGUGAAAGUUGACUGAUUCAGGAUGCAGUUUAUGAUAGCAAAAGCUGGAAGGAGUAAUUACCUGUCCACAAGUCAUUUCAGAUGAUGAACGACUGAGCACAAGAAUGGACAAUAGGAAGCUGCAGAAUAUGCUCAAAUCAAUUGCCAACGCAUAGCACCUGCACAUAUUUUAGUUGGGAGAGGAUAUGAGUAUCUUUUUUCUGAGACGACACGAGGACAUUGUCGCCGAAGAAGAUGUUCUUGCUGGAGUAAGAUGUGCAUAGACAGCCAGAGAGGGAAGCAUUAUAUAGUACCUGCGAGGUUUGCGACUUUACCAGCCAUCAAGCAAAUGAAGGAAUGGUAAUAGGCCUGAAUGAAUGAAUGAUUAUAGGCCAUAAUCGUGAGCUUGAAGGGGAGCGUAGCAGUUUCCAGCAGAACAAUGCCAUGAUUGCGAGAUUGAAGGAGAGGAGACAAGUUACCAGUACAGUACACCAGGUGUCUCUCCCUCGCCCGCAACUCACACCUCUGGAUUGGAUUGGCUCGACCCGGAUCCUGCUCCGCCGAUCGCUGAGAUCGAC
rnacentral:lncRNA from 1 species